ACUCCUGCGGGAGGCAGCAGUGGGGAAUUUUGGACAAUGGGUGAAAGCCUGAUCCAGCAAUGCCGCGUGAGUGAAGAAGGCCUUCGGGUUGUAAAGCUCUUUUGUCAGGGAAGAAACGGUGAAAGCUAAUAUCUUUUGCUAAUGACGGUACCUGAAGAAUAAGCACCGGCUAACUACGUGCCAGCAGCCGCGGUAAUACGUAGGGUGCAAGCGUUAAUCGGAAUUACUGGGCGUAAAGCGUGCGCAGGCGGUUUUGUAAGUCUGAUGUGAAAUCCCCGGGCUCAACCUGGGAAUUGCAUUGGAGACUGCAAGGCUAGAAUCUGGCAGAGGGGGGUAGAAUUCCACGUGUAGCAGUGAAAUGCGUAGAUAUGUGGAGGAACACCGAUGGCGAAGGCAGCCCCCUGGGUCAAGAUUGACGCUCAUGCACGAAAGCGUGGGGAGCAAACAGGAUUAGAUACCCUAGUAGUCCCA
rnacentral:rRNA from 1 species